GACGAACGCUGGCGGCGUGCCUAAUACAUGCAAGUAGAACGCACAGUAUAUACCGUAGCUUGCUACACCAUAGACUGUGAGUUGCGAACGGGUGAGUAACGCGUAGGUAACCUGCCUGGUAGCGGGGGAUAACUAUUGGAAACGAUAGCUAAUACCGCAUAAUAUUAAUUAUUGCAUGAUAAUUGAUUGAAAGAUGCAACUGCAUCACUACCAGAUGGACCUGCGUUGUAUUAGCUAGUAGGUGAGGUAACGGCUCACCUAGGCGACGAUACAUAGCCGACCUGAGAGGGUGAUCGGCCACACUGGGACUGAGACACGGCCCAGACUCCUACGGGAGGCAGCAGUAGGGAAUCUUCGGCAAUGGACGAAAGUCUGACCGAGCAACGCCGCGUGAGUGAAGAAGGUUUUCGGAUCGUAAAGCUCUGUUGUAAGAGAAGAACGGGUGUGAGAGUGGAAAGUUCACACUGUGACGGUAUCUUACCAGAAAGGGACGGCUAACUACGUGCCAGCAGCCGCGGUAAUACGUAGGUCCCGAGCGUUGUCCGGAUUUAUUGGGCGUAAAGCGAGCGCAGGCGGUUAGAUAAGUCUGAAGUUAAAGGCUGUGGCUUAACCAUAGUACGCUUUGGAAACUGUUUAACUUGAGUGCAGAAGGGGAGAGUGGAAUUCCAUGUGUAGCGGUGAAAUGCGUAGAUAUAUGGAGGGACACCGGUGGCGAAAGCGGCUCUCUGGUCUGUAACUGACGCUGAGGCUCGAAAGCGUGGGGAGCGAACAGGUUAGAUACCCUUGUAGUCAAGGGGAAAUUCCCAGUGGAUAUCAGGCUUAUCGAUCCCGUCAACUCGAAGGGGGGCGGGGACCGGCUUUUGUGCCGUUACACGGCUUGAUUCGGACGCGUGGGGUAAUCAUUAA
rnacentral:rRNA from 1 species